GACGGAGCGGCCGCCCGGCUGAGGAGGAGCUGAUGGAGGACAGGAGUCACUCCUGGACCAGGAGUCGUCGUCCUCUGAGCCCAGGGGUGGAGAAGGGAGGAGCAGGAUGGAGCAUCCACUCCACCUCCAGCCAGACUGUUAUGAAGCCCCAGCAGCUGGGAGGAGGAGGCUGGAGCACCAACCAGACCUGACGGAGCCCC